UAUCUUGUGUCACCUGGUGCUAGCAUUGUGGUCAUUGUCCCUAGACCUAGGCUAAGAAAGCUGUUGAUGUUCUUUAUAGCUGCGCUUGUGUGUUUCGAGGAUUAGAAUGAAUGAUGCCUAGCUGCCUAUAGUUACACAAAAUGCUAGACCAUUAAACUUGAAUGAGAACAUGUAAUAGUUGUACCAUAGAUAUCAAGGGUGUAUUGGAUUUGUACUACCGAGGGCAGUUCUAUGUAUUCCCCGAUUUUAUAAUUUGUAGGGAAGGAAAGUGAAUUAAUAAUAGGUAAAAUUGAUUGAAUAAUUAGCUCAGGUGAUUCAUAUCCUGUGUUUUGUUUCCUGAUUGUUUGGUGUAUUUAAUCUUUGUUUGUAGUCAGUCAUAGGCAGUUGCCUACAUUAUCAUGAUUACUCAUUAUUGACUAUAUUGAAAGCUUCGUUAACAUAGGAAAAUACUACAGAAAGUUUGCUGACGUAAAUGAAGUAGUGCCCUAUAUGGAACCGACGUAAAGAAUAUAUACAAAGAGCCUAGAGCAAGGUAGCGGAGGGUACAAAAUGGAGCAUGACAAAGAUGUGAACUAUUUGGUUAUUCCACUUUUUGUGGGAAUUAUACUUGCAAUUGGCAUCAUAAUUUGUUUGCACUUUUGUCAUCGGAGGAUCAGAAUGAAGGGUGAAACACUAAGUCGAACACUACGGGAGCUUCAUAGAGUGCAAACAAAUGAAGCCAGUUUUGAAAACACUGAACAGACAUCCCCUCCACAAGAAAGUUCAUUGUAUGAAGUGAUUUCAGAGCAGCAGUUCGUUAACGCUACAAGUACAGGUGCUGAGAAUGAAGACAAUGAAUACGAGUACAUUGAUGAUAUUGCAUUUGAUGGUGAACAGUUCUUUUGUGAAAACAAUCAGUGCUACAAGACAGUAAACAGGCCGAGAGACGCUAAUCAACAAAGGAAUGUACACGAUCCAUCAUAUGAGAAUGCUGUAGUAACAGUGCACAAAUAAACACUUCUGUGUCAUUAGGUCAUUCAUUAUAAACAGAACAUAGUACAGGAAAUGUAAACGUAACAUAUUUAUAGCAUGCACUGUAAAAAGAGAUGUGCCAUUAUAGCACGCGUGUGAAUUGAUAGACUCUACUUGUUUUUUUGGCUGAUGAGUCAGUAAUUCUCCUUUCUCAACAAUGGCAGACUCCUUUGAUUGUGAUAGUGUACGAAACAGAGGGCUCAAAGGUAGGCUAUCUUAACCACCCUUCAAGUGAGCUAGCUGUCUGAAUCUUAAUACUGGUCCGAAAUAGGUGUGAAGUACAAGUUCAAAGGACUAAAGGACUGUAUAGUAAACACUUAUAAUUGGAAUGGAUGCAUGCAUGCAAGUUUUGCAAACACUUCUGUUUAAUUUUCAGUUACUAUAGACUCGUCAUUAUUGUUU